rnacentral:misc_RNA from 1 species
GUAGGUGAACCUGCGGAAGGAUCAUUACCGAGAGACGGGGUCCAACCGGCCCCAACUCUUCACCCGUGUAUACCAAACUCACGUUGCUUUGGCGGGCCGUCGAACGUUUUCGCGGGAGGCCCCACACAAGCCUCCUCGUGCCCGCCGAAGGCCUCAAUAAAUUCUGUUAUCAGUGUCGUCCGAGUCAACGCAAUAGUUAAAACUUUCAACAACGGAUCUCUUGGUUCCGGCAUCGAUGAAGAACGCAGCA